rnacentral:rRNA from 1 species
AUGGCCACCAUCACCACCAUGGCCUUCAUGGCCACCUUUCGGGCUCCCAGAACCGUUGCGCAGCCCCCGGCCACGCUGCCAUCUCGCCCGGACGUCGUGUCGUUCGCGGCCCGGGCGAUGCGCGCGCACGGCCGGCGGCUGGUGGCCGUGGCGGGCUCGCCGUCCACGCCCCCGGAGCUGGCGCAGAAGGUGACGGAGAGCAUCAAGCAGGCGGAGGAGACGUGCGCGGGGGACCCGGAGGGCGGCGAGUGCGUGGCGGCGUGGGACGAGGUGGAGGAGCUCAGCGCGGCGGCCAGCCACGCGCGCGACCGCAAGAAGGAGCACAGCGACCCGCUGGAGGAGUUCUGCGAGGACAACCCCGAGACCGACGAGUGCCGCACCUACGACAGCUAG